UUCGAUGGCUGAGUGGAUAGCACCUGCCCAACAGUCACGAGGUCGCAGGUUCGAUUCCUGCCGCAG